CCUACGGGAGGCUGCAGUGGGGAAUAUUGCGCAAUGGGCGAAAGCCUGACGCAGCGACGCCGCGUGAAGGAAGAAGGCUUUCGGGUUGUAAACUUCUUUUAAGGGGGAAGAGCAGAAGACGGUACCCCUUGAAUAAGCCACGGCUAACUACGUGCCAGCAGCCGCGGUAAUACGUAGGUGGCAAGCGUUGUCCGGAUUUACUGGGUGUAAAGGGCGUGCAGCCGGAGAGACAAGUCAGAUGUGAAAUCCACGGGCUCAACCCGUGAACUGCAUUUGAAACUGUUUCCCUUGAGUGUCGGAGAGGUAAUCGGAAUUCCUUGUGUAGCGGUGAAAUGCGUAGAUAUAAGGAAGAACACCAGUGGCGAAGGCGGAUUACUGGACGAUAACUGACGGUGAGGCGCGAAAGCGUGGGGAGCAAACAGGAUUAGAUACCCUUGUAGUC
rnacentral:rRNA from 1 species